AUGACAGGAUCCAGAGUCAAUUCAUGGGCUUUGUCGAUCGCGGGAGACGUGCCACCAGCUUUGCAAAUACCACAACCGUCACGAGAGGUGCACAAACAUCCAAAUGCACAUGAUCAGGUUAAUGUAUCUAUACCACCAUUUAAUGGCCGUUUUAAACCUGCUUUAUAUAUUGAAUGGGAGUUCGACAUAAAAAAUAUAUUUGCUUCCCAUAAUUUCAAUGAACAUAAAAAGGUUAAGGUUGCGGUUGGUUCUUUCACUGGUUAUGCUUUGGUUUGGUGGAGUGAAUAUUGUCGGUUACACCCUGAUUAUAUACCUACUACUUGGGAUGAUUUGAAACUUGCCAUGCGACAUACUUUCGUCCCUGCUUAUUAUACUCGUGACAUGAUUAAGAAGUUGCAACACUUAAAACAAGGUAGUGAAACUGUAACAAAAUAUUAUGAUGAUUUACAAACUACCUUGUUGCAUUCCUCUUUAGAAGAAAGUGAAGAUGAUUUUAUGGAUAGAUUUUGGGUAGGAUUAAACUGUGAUAUUCAAGAGAUACUAAUUCAUGAAGAGUGUUAUCCUAUGGACCAUUUGUUUCAUCUUGCUUGCAAAGCUGAACAGGAAAUAAAACGACGUGUUGGCCACGAGGAGAACAAGCGCAUGGUGCACAUUCCAAGAGUUGAUAUGAUUGUUCCUUCAACUACUAGGCAUACUAUGACAACCACAUCCGUUGUUGUCAGGACUACAUCACCUCCACCAUGUGACACAUCGCCCCCGAGAGUGGCUACAUCAUCUGAGUUGAUCAUAAGAGGUAAUGACAAAGGUACUGAUCUUCCAUCUCUACAUGAGAAUGAUGAAUGCCUUGUCAAUUUGAAUGCACCAUCUGAUGAGCUACCCACUACUUUGAUCACACCACCUAUUUUAGAGGACUACGUUGAUAAUUUGACUUUGCCAUGUGAUCAAACAACUGAAAUACCAACAAUUUUGAGUGCACCCAUUGAAUUAACUAUUGAUGCAAAAGAACCAAUGUUUAAUCAUUUUGAUAUGACCUCUAAUCUUGGUGAUGAUUCUGUGUUGAAUGACUUAUUGCAUGUUUGCUUAUUUAAGCAUGUUGUAGCAUGUAAAUUUGAUGCAAGUAAGGUUUAUUCACCAAUGUUGGGAUGGUUUAAUGAUGAACAUUGUCAAUCUUUUGAAAUGAAUAAGAGCUUCACUUAUAUGUGCAAAAUGAGUUGCAAUAUUUUCAUGCCUUCUACUUCUUGUGCUAAUUUUUUGGCUUUAGAUUUUAUGAACUAUGCAAGUUACUCAUCUAUUCAUGUGUCAUAUAUGCAAAAAUCAAGGGAAGUAAAAAUGGAUGACAUAUACAUAUACAACAUGUACACCUUGUCUCUUUUGUUAGCCACAUUUCAGAUUAAGCAACGCCGAGGACGGCUUUAUUUUCAAGAAGGGGAGGAUGAUGAGGACAUGACUACCUUGGAUAUGACCAAAAAUAUUGCAUAUAUGCAUAUUUGUCAGGUGAUUUCUAGUGCAAACUAUUCAAUAAUCUAUUUAUGUUAUCCAGAACAAAAAUACUUCACACACUUUUGUGUUUUGUCUAAUUGCAGGUGUAUGGGACAUUUGUACAAUCCACAUAUGAAGAUAAGGAAGAAAGAGAUGUUUAUUUGCUGUCCAAAAAGUUCUCUCACGUCACUUUUGGCCCAAGAGAAGAUAGAGUCCAAGUCUCUCACGUUCUGGAUUCAGAUUCGGACUGCACAGACAUACCUGACUCAAAACGCACACAAGUUUUUCAUACGGACUCCGAAUUGGGUGAUUCUUUUUUUGUUGGAAACUAGAUUUCGUGCACUUUCCAACCCAAUUGGAAUCACCUUCAAAUUCGUCCGGAGCGUUGAGUUGUGGACGAAACAAUCUGAUGCUGCAGCAGAAUCCGAGUCAAACUACAUGUCCAAAGGUGUUACAUCACCUCCACUUGGGCCCAUUGGCCUUGUACGACCUAGAUUUAGUUUUAGGCUGCCUUGGGACGUCCUCCCACCUCCUUGGCCGCCACCCCUUGCUCCUAUAUAA
rnacentral:rRNA from 1 species